rnacentral:misc_RNA from 1 species
GAUGAAGAACGCAGCGAAAUGCGAUACUUGGUGUGAAUUGCAGAAUCCCGUGAACCAUCGAGUCUUUGAACGCAAGUUGCGCCCGAAGCCAUUAGGCCGAGGGCACGCCUGCCUGGGCGUCACACGUCGUUGCCCCCCCAUCUACUCCUUCGGGAUUGUGGGGGGCGGAUGAUGGCCUCCCGUGCGCCUCGUCGCGCGGUUGGCCUAAAUGCCAAGUCCUCGGCGACGCACGCCACGACAAUCGGUGGUUGCGAAACCUCGGUUGCCUGUCGUGUGCGGUCGUCGCGCAUCGAGGGCUCGAAAAAAUUGCCGGGCUUCGGCUCGACUUUCAACGCGACCCCAGGUCAGGCGGGGUUACCCGCUGAAUUUAAGCAUAUCAAUAAGCGGAGGA